GAUGAACGCUGGCGGCGUGCCUAAUACAUGCAAGUCGAGCGAACGGACGAGAAGCUUGCUUCUCUGAUGUUAGCGGCGGACGGGUGAGUAACACGUGGAUAACCUACCUAUAAGACUGGGAUAACUUCGGGAAACCGGAGCUAAUACCGGAUAAUAUUUUGAACCGCAUGGUUCAAAAGUGAAAGACGGUCUUGCUGUCACUUAUAGAUGGAUCCGCGCUGCAUUAGCUAGUUGGUAAGGUAACGGCUUACCAAGGCAACGAUGCAUAGCCGACCUGAGAGGGUGAUCGGCCACACUGGAACUGAGACACGGUCCAGACUCCUACGGGAGGCAGCAGUAGGGAAUCUUCCGCAAUGGGCGAAAGCCUGACGGAGCAACGCCGCGUGAGUGAUGAAGGUCUUCGGAUCGUAAAACUCUGUUAUUAGGGAAGAACAUAUGUGUAAGUAACUGUGCACAUCUUGACGGUACCUAAUCAGAAAGCCACGGCUAACUACGUGCCAGCAGCCGCGGUAAUACGUAGGUGGCAAGCGUUAUCCGGAAUUAUUGGGCGUAAAGCGCGCGUAGGCGGUUUUUUAAGUCUGAUGUGAAAGCCCACGGCUCAACCGUGGAGGGUCAUUGGAAACUGGAAAACUUGAGUGCAGAAGAGGAAAGUGGAAUUCCAUGUGUAGCGGUGAAAUGCGCAGAGAUAUGGAGGAACACCAGUGGCGAAGGCGACUUUCUGGUCUGUAACUGACGCUGAUGUGCGAAAGCGUGGGGAUCAAACAGGAUUAGAUACCCUGGUAGUCCACGCCGUAAACGAUGAGUGCUAAGUGUUAGGGGGUUUCCGCCCCUUAGUGCUGCAGCUAACGCAUUAAGCACUCCGCCUGGGGAGUACGACCGCAAGGUUGAAACUCAAAGGAAUUGACGGGGACCCGCACAAGCGGUGGAGCAUGUGGUUUAAUUCGAAGCAACGCGAAGAACCUUACCAAAUCUUGACAUCCUUUGACAACUCUAGAGAUAGAGCCUUCCCCUUCGGGGGACAAAGUGACAGGUGGUGCAUGGUUGUCGUCAGCUCGUGUCGUGAGAUGUUGGGUUAAGUCCCGCAACGAGCGCAACCCUUAAGCUUAGUUGCCAUCAUUAAGUUGGGCACUCUAAGAUGACUGCCGGUGACAAACCGGAGGAAGGUGGGGAUGACGUCAAAUCAUCAUGCCCCUUAUGAUUUGGGCUACACACGUGCUACAAUGGACAAUACAAAGGGCAGCGAAACCGCGAGGUCAAGCAAAUCCCAUAAAGUUGUUCUCAGUUCGGAUUGUAGUCUGCAACUCGACUACAUGAAGCUGGAAUCGCUAGUAAUCGUAGAUCAGCAUGCUACGGUGAAUACGUUCCCGGGUCU
rnacentral:rRNA from 1 species